UACGUAGGGCGCAAGCGUUAUCCGGAAUUAUUGGGCGUAAAGAGCUCGUAGGCGGUUUGUUGCGUCGGCUGUGAAAUCCCGAGGCUCAACCUCGGGUCUGCAGUCGAUACGAGCAAACUAGAGUGUUGCAGGGGAGACUGGAAUUCCUGGUGUAGCGGUGAAAUGCGUAGAUAUCAGGAGGAACACCGGUGGUGUAAACGGCUCUCUGGACCGUAACUGACGCUGAGGCACGAAAGCGUGGGUAGCAAACAGG
rnacentral:rRNA from 1 species